UACGUAGGUGACCAGCGUUGUCCGGAUUUACUGGGCGUAAAGAGCGCGCAGGCGGUCGUUCAAGUCGAGUGUGAAAGCCCCCGGCUCAACUGGGGAGGGUCACUCGAUACUGAUCGACUUGAAGGCAGGAGAGGGAAGCGGAAUUCCCGGUGUAGUGGUGAAAUGCGUAGAUAUCGGGAGGAACACCAGUGGCGAAGGCGGCUUCCUGGCCUGUUCUUGACGCUGAGGCGG
rnacentral:rRNA from 1 species